AAAAAAAAAGAAAAGGGAAAAAAAAUCUCGUACCCACCACCACAUCUCGCUAGGGUUUCCGCCGCAUCUCGAAGCCUUCGCCUUUGCCGCCGGCCGCCGCCGCCGCCAUGGGGUCUGGUGACGACGUCCCCUCCUCCAAGCACCACCACCGCGACAAGGAUAAGGACCGCGAAAGGUCCUCCUCCCGCCACCACCGCGACAAGGACCGGGACCGGGACCGCGAGCGCUCGUCGUCUCGUCACCACCACCGCGAGGAACGGGAUGACGAGCGGGACCGGGACCGGGAGCGCCGCCACAGGGAGAAGGAGCGGGACCGCGAGGAGCGGAAGGCGCGGGAGCGGGAGGAGCGGGAGAGGGAGAAGGAGGAGAAGGAGAGGGAGCGGGCACGGCGGCGCGAGGAGAGGGACCGUGAGGAGAGGGACAGGGACAGGGACCGGGACCGGGACCGGGACCGGGACAGGGAGAGGUCGAGGAGGCGAGACGCGGAGGAGGACGAGGACGAUCGCGACCGCAAGCGCCGCCGCCGGUCCUCGCACCACCACCGCGACGCGGAGCCGGAGGGGCCGCCUGCUGCCAGGGAGGAGGAGGAGGAGGUGGAUGAGGAGGAGGCUGAGAGACGGCGUCAGAAGAAGAAGGAGGAGGAGCAGCAGCAGCUGGAUGAAGAGAUGGAGACGCGGCGGCGCCGCAUCAAGGAGUGGCAGGAGAUGAAGCGCCGCGAGGAGGAGACUAAGCGCCGUGAGCAGCAGGAGUCCGGAGUUGGCACUUCAGCUGCCGCCACUGGAGCGGAUGAUGGUGGCAAUGCCGGGAAGAAGUGGACCUUGGAUGGCGAGGAGUCCGAUGAGGAGGGGGAUAAGGAGGACGCUAAGAAGUCAGAUGAUAAUGGUGGUUCUGGUGCUGGUAUCAUGGACGUUGAUACUCAGAAUGGGGAUAGUAAUGCAAAUGGCGCCACUGCUAUGGAUGAGGAUGAUGAAAUCGAUCCGCUUGAUGCAUUCAUGAACUCGAUGGUGUUGCCAGAGGUCGCAAAGCUGGAGAGCAUGCCUACUGCCAAUGUGGAUGACAAGAAUGAUAAGAGUGUGAAGGAUGCUGUGACUGAUGGGGAUAAGAAAGGGCCGAAGAAGGUGAUGGGGAGAAUUAUUCAAGGAGAAGACUCGGACUCAGAUUACGAUGAUGAUGUGGAUGACGAGGAUGGAUCAGAAGAUGAGGACGAUGAGGAGUUCAUGAAACGUGUCAAGAAGACAAAGGUGGAAAAGUUGGCAAUUGUUGACCAUUCUAAGAUCGACUACCAGCCGUUCCGGAAGAAUUUUUACAUUGAGGUGAAAGACAUUACAAAGAUGGCCACUGAGGAAGUGGCAGCUUAUCGGAAGCAGUUGGAGCUCAAGGUGCAUGGGAAAGAUGUACCCAAGCCAAUAAAGACAUGGGUGCAGAGUGGGCUUACCAGCAAGCUCCUUGAUACAAUCAAGAAACUUGGUUUUGAGAAACCAAUGCCUAUACAGGCACAAGCAUUACCAAUCAUAAUGAGUGGUCGUGAUUGUAUAGGAAUCGCAAAGACUGGAUCAGGCAAGACUCUUGCAUUUGUCCUACCAAUGCUGAGGCAUGUCAAAGACCAGCCAGCUGUUGUGCCUGGGGAUGGCCCAAUUGGGCUUAUAAUGGCUCCCACUAGAGAACUUGUGGUUCAGAUACAUUCAGACAUCAAGAAGUUCUCGAAGGUGCUUGGCAUCAAUUGUGUUGCUAUCUAUGGAGGUUCAGGGGUUGCCCAACAGAUUAGUGAACUGAAGAGGGGUGCAGAAAUUGUUGUUUGUACACCAGGAAGAAUGAUCGAUAUCCUUUGCACAAGCAGUGGGAAGAUUACUAACCUUCGGAGAGUUACGUUCUUGGUGAUGGAUGAAGCUGAUAGGAUGUUUGAUAUGGGUUUUGAGCCUCAGAUUACUCGGAUAGUUCAGAAUACCCGCCCAGAUAGGCAGACAGUUCUUUUCUCAGCCACUUUUCCACGUCAGGUGGAGAUACUGGCACGGAAGGUGCUCACCAAGCCUGUUGAGAUCCAGGUGGGCGGAAGGAGUGUCGUCAACAAGGAUAUCACUCAACUGGUUGAGGUGCGGCCAGAAAAUGAGAGGUUCUUGAGGCUGUUGGAGCUGCUUGGAGAGUGGUUUGAUAAAGGCAAAAUUCUUGUUUUUGUCCAUUCACAAGAUAAAUGUGAUUCUCUACUCAAAGACCUGUUCCAGCAUGGAUAUCCAUGCCUAUCUCUGCAUGGUGGGAAAGACCAGACUGACCGUGAAUCAACUCUUGCUGAUUUCAAGAGCAAUGUAUGCAACUUGCUGAUUGCUACCAGUGUUGCUGCUAGGGGUUUAGAUGUCAAGGAGCUUGAGCUUGUUGUGAAUUAUGAUGUCCCAAACCAUUAUGAGGAUUAUGUUCAUCGUGUUGGGCGAACUGGCCGUGCUGGGAGGAAGGGAUUUGCUGUGACUUUUAUUUCUGAGGAAGAGGAGCGUUAUGCUCCAGACCUUGUUAAAGCUUUGGAGCUCUCUGAGCAGGCUGUUCCAGAGGACCUUAAAAGUCUAGCUGAUCGUUUUAUGGCAAAGGUGAAGCAGGGAACAGAGCAGGCCCAUGGAACAGGUUAUGGUGGAAGCGGUUUCAAGUUCAAUGAAGAGGAGGAUGAAGCAAGGAAAUCUGCUAAGAAAGCUCAGGCAAGGGAAUAUGGAUACGAGGAGGACAAAUCAGAUUCAGAUUCUGAUGAGGAAGGAGGGGUUCGUAAGGCAGGAGGCGACCUUGCGGCACAAGCUAUUGCUGCUGCUCAAGCUGCUGCUGCUUUGGUUGCAGCCAAGGCUGCUAGCAAUGCCAACCAGCAAACACAAGGCACUGCUGUAGGGCCCUUGCUUCCUCUAGCCAUUGCUUCAAAUGCACAGAAUAACGAGGCCACAGCACGUGCACUGCAGGCUGCAUUUAACAUACAGCAAAAUCUGGCUAGGAUACAAGCACAUGCCGUCCCAGAACAUUAUGAGGCUGAGCUUGAAAUUAAUGACUUCCCACAAAAUGCCCGCUGGAAGAUCACUCACAAAGAGACAUUGGGUCCUAUCCAGGAAUGGACUGGAGCUGCAAUCACUACAAGGGGAACGUUUAUUCCUCAAGGAAAAAUUGUUGGUGCAAAUGAGCGCAAGCUGUACCUGUUCAUAGAGGGCCCCACUGAGCUAUCUGUCAAGAAGGCAAAAGCAGAAUUGAAGCGUGUCCUUGAAGAUUGUGCUAACCAUGCUUUGAACCUUCCUGGUUCUGCCCAAACUGGAAAAUACUCUGUUAUUUGAGCUGCGAAACAGAUAAUUGGAUUUUCUUGAGAAGCUUUGGUGGUUUGCAGACUGCGGUGCUACUCUUGGAUUGAUUCUUCCAUAUAUGCGGCUCAUGUUUUAAUCUUAGCCAUCGUACAUGGCAACUAAAUGCUUACUUAUUAAACUUGUCAUUAUCACAUGGUUAUUGUGGAAAUUGUCUAAUCUACAACCUUUUGAUAAUUUCUGUAGCUACUAUUAACAAGUUCUGGUUGCCUUUGGACAGAAGGCUUAGAACAGCUUGCUGUUAACGUGGGAUGUGUUCCAGGUUCAUGCUUUUCAUUUGCUCAUUUGGAUGCUAUAACAGGAAUCGGUAGUUCAUAAGUGGUAUUGUCGUUUUUUACUGCUACUUGUAUGGUAUGAUUCAAGUCUUUCAUGCGUUUAAAAAGGUGCCGUGAUGUUCUUGUUUUGGUCUUCAGAUGCAGUUUACUGCUCAAGAUGCGGUGGUGCAGCUGCUGUGGAAGGAGAGUCUGGCUCUGCGUGUGCUAUCUUCCCUUGACAUAACUUAUUUCUCUGUUUACCAUCUUUGUUUGAUAUAUAUGCAGUUAUUAAGUUUAUAACUAAUAAUAUCAUUCAUCAUAUAAUUUGUUGCUGCUCCCAUUCAGUAACAGUAGAUUUAUGGUAGUUCUGUUAGCAUUUGACCUAGCACAGGAUACAGAUAGAGUUUGCUGUUCUUACCUUUUCUCUUAACCCGAUGCUGCUGCUUGCUGCACUCCACCUUUUCCACUUCAUUAUUGUAGAGAUAAUCAUGUUUCCUGCAUAAUAUACUACUAAUCAUAGCAUUGCAUUGUGCAGAAUAUAGCACAGCAGGUGACAGAUGUGUGCAGGUAAAUACUAGAGGGAUGGCGGCCCAAUUCGUUCUCCCCCUUUUCUUUUUCUGCUUGUUGAGUCUGACCGUGGCUUUAAGCAGUUUGUGCAUUCAGAGCCAUGGAAUUCCAUCAGGGUAAUUUGCAGCUCUGGGAAGCUGAAGUUACCUAGAGAGUGGGCUUGUCAAGGGCAAAGUAAACAUUAUGUAAAGCCAAAUAAAUGCUCUUCCGGAUACAUUAAUGGUUUGCCCAAUUCCGCCUCUUGAGCAACCGCUGUAGCCAUAUCCUGCUCAUUGUCGGACAAUUUGUCGAUGAAACAUCUCGUUGAAUUCAUGAGAAUGGUUGCAAAGACGUUGUUCGUAAACUCUCACGUAAUUGUUUGCUGCUGCCUCAUCUGUAUUUUUCUAUAGUCUCAUCUGCAAAGACAUGCUGUCAAAAAGUCUGAUCUAUGAUCUAUGAUCUGUGUUUGUCCGGUCUGUUUCGGCGUAGUAUCAGUGUAUGUACCUGGGCAUUGGGUAUUUUUGUUAAUUAAGUAUAACCCAUAACUAUGCCAUUGUAUAGAGUAUUCUUUUUUUUAUAUAUAAAAAAGGGAGAAGCUACAUACGGGACGGACUCUUCCCCGUCACCCGGUCA